rnacentral:rRNA from 1 species
UACGUAGGGUGCAAGCGUUGUCCGGAAUCAUUGGGCGUAAAGAGCGUGUAGGCGGUUCAGUAAGUCGGGUGUGAAAACUUUGGGCUUAACCCAAAGCGUGCAUCCGAUACUGCUGUGACUUGAGUUCGGUAGGGGAGUGGGGAAUUCCUAGUGUAGCGGUGAAAUGCGCAGAUAUUAGGAGGAACACCGGUGGCGAAGGCGCCACUCUGGGCCGAAACUGACGCUGAGGAGCGAAAGCAUGGGUAGCAAACAGG